UUCGCCUGGAAGGAGAUCAGCUCAGCCCAGGAUCCGAGAGGACCCCAAAUAUGUGCUUCAAGGGCCUCAGAUUCCCUUUGCCUGAGGAGGUGGAGGGGCUAACGUCCGUCUGGUCUUGAGAGUGCAGGGUCUCUGCCCACCCCACCCCACCCCACCCCAAACCCAGGGGUACAAUCCGAAUCUGCCCUGUGUCUGCACAGCUGUGGCUGCUCGGCUCAGGAGAGACCCCAUCACACAACGGGGUGCAGUGACCGUGCCGAAGACACCCAUGUGGGCUCCGUUGUUUGGGGCUCGGGAACCCCUUCCCUAUGAGCUGAGUUAUGUAACUUGGGGGAGAGUCGGGGGACUGAAGUCUGUGUCUCUCUUCAGACGACGCGCUUCCGCCUUCUCUUCCAUCCUUUGGUAACGGGGGUGGGAGGGUCCCAGCCCCCUAGGGAGGUCCCCAGUGGGGUCUGAGGCUUUCUCUGCAGCAAAGUGGGCCGGACUGCGGUAGCAGAAAUGAAGGUGCAUCUGUGUGCAGUUUCUCUCAGUGAGGAGUGAGCUCCUUGAGCCUCCUGUCUCUAUAGCCACAGGCUGGACCAGUCGCUUCCCAAUCUCUGGGAGGCUGCAAAAGUAAUGGACCAGUUCAUAACUAUUGUUUUUUAAAUCUGAAAGAAAACAAAAUUAGGAAAUAGUGUAGUGUUCACACAGAAUCUCAUCGAUGAUUGUGUAAUGCAACUUUCUUUUGGACUGUGUGUAAUCCACAUAACGACGUAAUAUCAAUUUUUCCUAGUGAGUCGAAGCCAGUUAGCAGAGGAAUGUAGGAAAAAUUCCAGCCACCGCCUCGCUGCCUCCUUUCCUGAGAGCCAGUGACUUCAGCUACCUAUCAUGCCAUCCAGUAAGGAAUCCAGCUGUCACGUCCUUGGUUCCAGGUGUUUCCUGGGGAGGCCGAAGGCAGGCUUGGCACCCAGCCUGGCCGUCUCUGCCAGGAACGAGGAAAAGAUCUUUUGAAGCAUUUUCAGAAAAUGAAAGAAGUCAGAGAAAACGAAGAACCCACAAUGCCCUUUGUCCUCACCAAUCAAACUUCAGAACAAUGGACAUCAUGAGAGGUUGACUCUGAAGACCGCCGGCGGGGAGUCGGGGUAGAGCUAAGCGACUCUGGUGACAGGCCGGCCUGAUCUGGAGAGAGAAAUGUGAAGUCGUGUGGUGGAGGUGAAGCUGGCAUCAUCCCGGGGGGAGGAUGGAAAAUAGCUCUGGGCCCCUUGUGAGAAGAGGCCGCCUAGGGCUGAGUUGUUUGGAGGGGUGAGUAAGAAGCUCAGUGAGCUUGGCAUGGAGUUUGAGGAGUCAGGGCUCCGGAAGCCCUCAUGGGAGGGGCCCGACAUGACCCCCCUCUCCUCAGGUGCAGCCAUGGCUGAGAACCCUGCCGCUCCCAGGAC